rnacentral:rRNA from 1 species
GAUGAACGCUGGCGGCGUGCCUAAUACAUGCAAGUAGAACGCUGAAGGAAGGAGCUUGCUCUUCCCGGAUGAGUUGCGAACGGGUGAGUAACGCGUAGGUAACCUGCCUGGUAGCGGGGGAUAACUAUUGGAAACGAUAGCUAAUACCGCAUAACAGUAGAUGUUGCAUGACAACUAUUUGAAAGGGGCAAUUGCUCCACUACCAGAUGGACCUGCGUUGUAUUAGCUAGUUGGUGAGGUAACGGCUCACCAAGGCGACGAUACAUAGCCGACCUGAGAGGGUGAUCGGCCACACUGGGACUGAGACACGGCCCAGACUCCUACGGGAGGCAGCAGUAGGGAAUCUUCGGCAAUGGACGGAAGUCUGACCGAGCAACGCCGCGUGAGUGAAGAAGGUUUUCGGAUCGUAAAGCUCUGUUGUAAGAGAAGAACGAGUGUGAGAGUGGAAAGUUCACACUGUGACGGUAUCUUACCAGAAAGGGACGGCUAACUACGUG